CUUCUUUAUUUUUCUCUUAUCUUUUCUUCUCUUUUAUUUUCGUUUCUUUCUGGGAAAAGUCUUACUACGAAGGCCUGGGGGACGUCCAACUCAUUAAUUUCCUUGCCUCAGAUUUCCAAGUGCUAAGAUUGCAGACCUGCUCUUCCACUCCUGAUUUCCCGGACUCUUCUUGACAAUACAAGGCAAGAAUGGUAUCCAGUUUGCUCAUCACACCACGUGCUCAGUAGAUCCCAGCGACUAAGUGACUGGACUUCCAAGAUGACACAGCUCCUGGCUCACAAAGCAGCACUGUGGGAUGCUAGAAAAGUUUCUGUGGAGGACAACAGUCAACGUGGAUGGCAUUGCAAACCCAAAGGACCCGCUUACCUCUAGUUCACUAAGGCCAGCUGUCUGUCCGUCUUUGCUUUACCAAGGAGCAGGACUUUCAGGGCAGGCACAAGAGAAUAGCAGAUGCGCUCGUGGCUCAGUUGCAAAGGAGCUGGAAGCAAGACCCACAGUUCCUAAGGCUCUUUUCAUUGUAUUCUGACUUUAACAAGAAGCUGCUUAGGCUCUGAGGCAGAAUUGGGUUUAGAAAGCCCCUUUUCUUCUGGCAUAGAUGGGAGGUGCUGUCCAGGCCCACUCCUUACUGAGCAGCUAUUGACAGUCGAUAGAUACUAGAGAAGAUACUAGUCGUAUGUCUCUGUCUGUCUCUGUUUCUCUGUCUGUCUCUGUCUCUCUGUCUCUCUGUCUUCUCUUCUCUUUUUAUUUUUAUUUUAUUUAUUUAUUUUUUGUAUUUAUUAUGUAUACAUCAGCUUUCUGCCUGCAUGUAUGCCUGCAGGCCAGAAGAGGGCAUCAGAUUUCAUUACAGAUGGUUGUGAGCCACCAUGUGGUUGCUGGGAAUUGAACUCAGGACCUCUGGAAGAGCAGACAGUGUUCUUAACCUCUGAGCCAUCUCUCUAGCCCCCUCUUCUCUUUUUAAAGCAUAUGUGGCCACUGGUCGAUCUCCCAGGCUCCAGUGAAUGGCAACCAUGCACAUAUGGGCAGCUCUAAUUGGACUUAGUGGGUCAUCACCAAAAGGACAUGAGAUUCAAAGCAGCCAUUUUGGAAGUAAUUUGGGGAAACUGGAGAGAGAAUGGGUAUAGAUAUAAUCAUGUAGGAAAUUCUCAAGAAUAAAGAAAAAUUAACAAAGAAACCUUGCUUUGCGGCUGGUUUGAAUGCAUUGACUAAAAGCAAAAUGAAACAAAAGUGCUCUCAGUACUUCUGUGAUGCUGAAGAAACUGCGUUUUAUGCUAGGGAUCCAUUUUGGUAAUCACUAGCCAUUUGUCUGUGACUCUGGGCCCUGUAAGAUGGGUUUCCAGUUACCCUGACUGAAUGAGCUGUACCCCAAAGUGUGCAGCUCCAACUAUCCACUUGUCAUGACCAACUGCUGUUUUGCUUCUACAACUUUCUUACGCAGAUACCCAAAGAUUGUUUCAGGUCGCCUUAACCACUUAACCUGGUAGAACAGACCAGUUUUUGCUUGUUUUCAUAGACAGUGAAGGCCUUUAAAAAUUCUUCCUUCAGGGGCUGGAGAGAUGGCUCAGCGGUUAAGAGCACCCGACUGCUCUUCCAGAGGUCAUGAGUUCAAUUCCCAGCAACCACAUGGUGGCUCACAACCAUCUGUAAAGAGAUACGAUGCCCUCUUCUGUAUCUGAAGACAGCUACAGUGUACUUAUAUAUAAUAAAUAAAUAAAUCUUUAAAAAAAAAA